UUCAGGACACUUUCACCUCAUUGGAAGCCAAUUCCAGGGGAUGCCACACACUUUUGCUCAGCUUAAUCGGGCCUGGAAAAAGUGUUUAAAACAAAUCCACAAUCUCAGGGCUGCGGAUUUACGGCCAAGGGGAAAGACGGACAAUCAUACAGCCAGGUUUGAUUGAACCUGGCUGAGAUUGAACAUCAACCUCCUUGAGAAUGAAAGUUCUCUUACCUCCUCUGCAAAUCUCUGCCCCUAGACCUUCCUCAUAUCUGGACACAGGAGUCAGGGACAACAAGGAGAGUGGCACAGAGUAAUGUCAGGAUAAGACCUAUUAUUGUGAGGCCCUGAAUGACUUUUGUCAGCUGAAGACCUGUGAUCUUGGAUCUCUCCUUCCCAAUGGCAAUGAAAUGGAUGGGGCCAUCAGCAGCAGUUUCCAAAAGGACAGAGCAGAAAGGCACUUCACUUCUCUGCAUCACAUGGAAUUCUGCAUGUCUCAAGAGGGACGAUCUGUGUUGAAAAAGGUUGAGAAGAUUUUUUAAAUGAAGGACUUCUCAGAGCCUAUGCACGAAGAGUUUCCUGGAGAGGGGGUUGGUAUCAUGCACCUCCAAACAUAUUGGACCACAGAGCCCUUUACUGAGAUUAUCAUGUACAACUAAUGAACUGUGAAAAAGAAUUUGGGAAAUGUUCACCUGAAGGCAUUGUGGUAUUAAAAGAACACUGCUCCCCACCUAUACCCUGAGAGUUUUGGAGCAAUACUUCUCCGUGUAUAACUUUUCCAUAAUUGUGAUUAUUUAUGUAGUUAUGGAAUGUCUGGUCCCCCUUGUCUAAUGUAAAUACCAUGUGCUUCUUUCCCAUUGCUAAUAGAUGUGUAUCUUCAAUGCCUCCCAAGUAAGUGCUCAAUACAUCUGUGAUUGAAUGAUUCAAUGCAUGAUUAAGACUCUAGAGGCCUGGAUUUUAGUGCCAGUUUUGUGGCUGACUGGGUAUUUGACUCUGGGAAAGUCACUUCCCUUCUUGGCCUCAGUCUACCCAUUUUGGCAACAGAAGAAAAUGCAGGUGAAUGAUCUCUGAAAGCCUUUCUAGCUCUAAAAUAUUAUGAUCUAAUUUCUUGUUUCUUUCAAAUGUAGCCAAUUCCAUACCUUUCUUACAAAUAAGAUAUUAACUAUCUUGGAAGAUACGAGAGAGUAUGUUUUUGGCAAUAAAUGAAAUAGGUUCUAUAAAGCACUUGCCAGAUCCCUAGUG